rnacentral:rRNA from 1 species
UACGGAGGGUGCGAGCGUUGUCCGGAAUCACUGGGCGUAAAGGGCGCGUAGGCGGCGCGGGCAGUCAACGGUGAAAGCUUGGGGCUCAACCCCGAGUCGGCCGUCGAUACUCCCGUGCUUGAGCACUGUAGAGGCAGGUGGAAUUCCGGGUGUAGCGGUGGAAUGCGUAGAGAUCCGGAAGAACACCGGUGGCGAAGGCGGCCUGCUGGGCAGUAGCUGACGCUGAGGCGCGAAAGCGUGGGGAGCAAACAGG